rnacentral:rRNA from 1 species
UACAGAGGUCUCAAGCGUUGUUCGGAUUCAUUGGGCGUAAAGGGUGCGUAGGUGGCGCUGUAAGUCAGGUGUGAAAUUUCGGAGCUUAACUCCGAAACUGCAUUUGAUACUGCGGUGCUUGAGGACUGGAGAGGAGACUGGAAUUUACGGUGUAGCAGUGAAAUGCGUAGAGAUCGUAAGGAAGACCAGUGGCGAAGGCGGGUCUCUGGACAGUUCCUGGACAGCUGAGGCACGAAGGCCAGGGGAGCAAAACGGG